rnacentral:rRNA from 1 species
AGACACGGUCCAGACUCCUACGGGAGGCAGCAGUAGGGAAUCUUCGGCAAUGGACGAAAGUCUGACCGAGCAACGCCGCGUGAGUGAAGAAGGUUUUCGGAUCGUAAAACUCUGUUGUUAGAGAAGAAUAAGUGGGAGAGUAACUGUUCCCACCUUGACGGUAUCCAACCAGAAAGCCACGGCUAACUACGUGCCAGCAGCCGCGGUAAUACGUAGGUGGCAAGCGUUGUCCGGAUUUAUUGGGCGUAAAGCGAGCGCAGGCGGUUUCUUAAGUCUGAUGUGAAAGCCCUCGGCUCAACCGAGGAAGGUCAUUGGAAACUGGGGAACUUGAAUGCGGAAGAGGAGAGUGGAAUUCCAUGUGUAGCGGUGAAAUACGUAGAUAUAUGGAGGAACACCAGUGGCGAAGGCGACUCUCUGGUCUGUAGUUGACGCUGAGGCUCGAAAGCGUGGGGAGCAAACAGGAUUAGAUACCCCGGUAGUCCACGCCGUAAACGAUGAGUGCUAAGUGUUGGAGGGUUUCCGCCCUUCAGUGCUGCAGUUAACGCAUUAAGCACUCCGCCUGGGGAGUACGGCCGCAAGGCUGAAACUCAAAGGAAUUGACGGGGGCCCGCACAAGCGGUGGAGCAUGUGGUUUAAUUCGAAGCAACGCGAAGAACCUUACCAGGUCUUGACAUCCUUUGACCACUCUAGAGGUAGAGCUUUCCCUUCGGGGACAAAGUGACAGGUGGUGCAUGGUUGUCGUCAGCUCGUGUCGUGAGAUGUUGGGUUAAGUCCCGCAACGAGCGCAACCCUUAUUGUUAGUUGCCAUCAUUCAGUUGGGCACUCUAGCGAGACUGCCGGUGACAAACCGGAGGAAGGUGGGGAUGACGUCAAAUCAUCAUGCCCCUUAUGACCUGGGCUACACACGUGCUACAAUGGACGGUACAAUGAGUCGCGAGACCGCGAGGUUUAGCUAAUCUCUUAAAGCCGUUCUCAGUUCGGAUUGUAGGCUGCAACUCGCCUACAUGAAGCCGGAAUCGCUAGUAAUCGUGGAUCAGCACGCCACGGUGAAUACGUUCCCGGGCCUUGUACACACCGCCUGUCACACCACGAGAGUUUGUAACACCCAAAGUCGGUGAGGUAACCUUUUGGAGCCAGCCGCCUAAGGUGGGAUAGAUGAUUGGGGUGAAGUCGUAACAAGGUA